rnacentral:rRNA from 1 species
GAAAAUUACGAGCAUAAGCUUAAAACUCAAAGGACUUGGCGGCGCUUUAGAUCCCCCUAGAGGAGCCUGUCCUGUAAUCGAUAACCCCCGUUAAACCUUACCUUUUUUCGCACCCAGCCUAUAUACCGCCGUCGUCAGCUCACCCUUCAAAGGACUUAUAAGUAAGCAAGACUGGUUAAGCCCAAAACGUCAGGUCAAGGUGUAGCAUAUAAAAGUGAAGAGAUGGGCUACAUUUCCUAAUUAGGGCCCCGAAAAAUAUUUUGAAACAAACAUAUUGAAGAAGGAUUUAGCAGUAAGUAAAAAAUAGAGAGUUUU